CGUGCCUAACACAUGCAAGUCGAGCGGCAGCGAGUUUUACACUGAAUUCUGGAAGCUUCUGGGUAAUAUAGAAGAUUUAUUCAAGAAUUUUGUGUAAAAUGUCGGCGAGCGGCGGACGGCUGAGUAACGCGUGGGAACGUACCCCAAAGUGAGGGAUAACGCAUCGAAAGGUGUGCUAAUACCGCAUAUGAUCUUCGGAUUAAAGCCCUCGGGCGCUUUGGGAACGGCCUGCGUAAGAUUAGAUAGUUGGUGGGGUAAUGGCCUACCAAGUCGACGAUCUUUAACUGGUUUGAGAGGAUGAUCAGUCAGACUGGAACUGAGACACGGUCCAGACUCCUACGGGAGGCAGCAGUGAGGAAUCUUCCACAAUGGGCGAAAGCCUGAUGGAGCAACGCCGCGUGCAGGAUGAAGGCCUUCGGGUUGUAAACUGCUUUUAUAAGUGAUGAUUAUGACAGUAACUUAUGAAUAAGGAUCGGCUAACUACGUGCCAGCAGCCGCGGUCAUACGUAGGAUCCGAGCGUUAUCCGGAGUGACUGGGCGUAAAGAGUUGCGUAGGUGGUUCAAUAAGCGAAUAGUGAAAGCUGGUGGCUCAACCAUUCAGACUAUUAUUCGAACUGUUGAACUCGAGAGCAGAAGAGGUAGCUGGAAUUUCUAGUGUAGGAGUGAAAUCCGUAGAUAUUAGAAGGAACACCGAUGGCGUAGGCAGGUUACUGGGCCAUUUCUGACGCUAAGGCACGAAAGCGUGGGGAGCGAACCGGAUUAGAUACCCGGGUAGUCCACGCCGUAAACGAUGGAUACUAGCUGUUUGGGGUAUCGACCCCCUGAGUAGCGAAGCUAACGCGUUAAGUAUCCCGCCUGUGGAGUACGAUCGCAAGAUUAAAACAUAAAGGAAUUGACGGGGACCCGCACAAGCGGU
rnacentral:rRNA from 1 species